rnacentral:rRNA from 1 species
UACGGGGGGGGCAAGCGUUGUUCGGAAUUACUGGGCGUAAAGGGCUCGUAGGUGGCCAACUAAGUCAGACGUGAAAUCCCUCGGCUUAACCGGGGAACUGCGUCUGAUACUGGAUGGCUUGAGUUUGGGAGAGGGACGCGGAAUUCCAGGUGUAGCGGUGAAAUGCGUAGAUAUCUGGAGGAACACCGGUGGCGAAGGCGGAUCUCUGGACAGCUCCUGACGCUGAGGCGCGAAGGCUAGGGGAGCAAACGGG